rnacentral:lncRNA from 1 species
CACGGUUACCACUCUCUCUAUCACAAUCACACACACACACAGUUUCACGCUCAAUCUUGCAUGAUGCUAUGGAGGAAACAGAAAUGUGCAUCAUAUGUGUUCGACGAUGUUCAGUAGAUCUAACUCGUAUCAGAAUGCUAUUCAGUCGAUCAGUGUGUUGUAAUUUACCGGACAAAUUAUUGUAAGUCGGUAUCACACGCCAAUUAGAGGCGCGUUCGACAUUCAGGAGUUCUUACUCGUAAUCCGUAUAAUAUUCAAUUGAUCAGGUUGUUUCUUACUUUCAUUUGCAUAUUCUUUAACCUAAAUUUUCCCUCUGUUCCUUUUGUCAUGUUAUUGUUUGGUGAUUGUUUCUAAUCUGCUUGUUAAUUACUGGUUAUUUAGGCGUUUUUUGUGCUGAUGUUUGAUUUACUGGACUGUAUUUUAAAAGAAGAAGAUGAGAGAACACUAAAAGUGUGCUGGAUACUCUCUCAAAUGGACAACACUAAAAGUUUUAACUAACUUUUAAAAACUAUUAAAUGUGCUUAAUCUAGGGAUUCCCUCCAAAAACUAUAUAAUACUGCCAUCAAAGUCAAGUAGGAAAUACAUUAAAUAUCUUUGACUACACAUUUUAUUUUGCCUAAAAUUUAAUAGUACAAUAUUAUGCCUCAACUUGUUUGGCACUAAUAUGGCUUUUCCAUGCAUGUCUACAUGACAUGUCUCAUGCGCAGUCAUAGGUAAGCUUCUUAGGUGAAUAAACAUUAGUAUUUGGUAAUCCUAUUGCUAUGGUAUAUGCAUAAUCGCGCUAUAGUGAUGUAAUAAUCCUAUUUCAUUUAGUUACCAGGAAUAAUGUGCAUGUGUGCUCCAACUGUUGAGACUAUCAUCUUGAUGAAAUUUCAGCUUGUAUCAUUGAAUUGAAAUUUGAAUAAGAUACUUAAAUAUUACAAUAUCCUGCAGCUAAAGUCUUCUUCAAUAUCAUAGUCUUACAUGUGAACUCCAUGUGUUGGAAUUUUCCGAUAUGAUGGUCUUCUUUGAUUUUUUCUCCUUUUCAUUCGUAACACAGAUUAAUAUAUAUUCGGGUAACUGGAAUGGAUGAUGGGUUAAACGUCAGAGAAGAAAUUUGCUUUGUAUUUUAUCACAUAUUUUUGCCAAGUUCUACUCCUCCAUAGCUUUAUUGUUUGUUUGGCACAUCUCUUUAAGCCACUGACAUUAUAAACUUGCUGGAAGAUAUGUAUUAUGAUAUCUUUAAUAAACUGAUGAACUCACAUGGAUUGUAUAAUGAUCUGAAUUAUCAUUCUACUUUUGUUUUACUGUAGCUAAAGUUAAAUGAUGGAUAUUGAGAGUGACGUUCAAGUUUGUGCUAAAUGAGUCUGGGAGUGUAUCAAUUGCAAUCGAUUCUGUCCGGCAAAUUAUAUUAAACAAAUUUCUUGAAGCUGACUCUGUAGCUCACGAAGCAUUGCAGAUUUUCCAACUGACAAACAUCCAAGCCACAUAG